rnacentral:rRNA from 1 species
UACGUAGGGGGCAAGCGUUAUCCGGAAUUAUUGGGCGUAAAGAGUACGUAGGUGGUUCCUUAAGCGAGGGGUUUAAGGCAAUGGCUUAACCAUUGUUCGCCCCCCGAACUGGGGGACUUGAGUGCUGGAGGGGAAAGCGGAAUUCCUAGUGUAGCGGUGAAAUGCGUAGAUAUUAGGAGGAACACCAGUGGCGAAGGCGGCUUCCUGGACAGUAACUGACACUGAGGUACGAAAGUGUGGGGAGCAAACAGG